AUUGAACGCUGGCGGCAGGCCUAACACAUGCAAGUCGAACGAGUGGGGACGGGUGAGUAACACGUGGGUAACCUCCCAUCAGAGGGGAUAACACUUGGAAACAGGUGCUAUACCGAAAUUGACGGAUGGACUCGCGUGGCAUUAGCGAGUUGGUGGGGUAACGGCUCACCAAGGUCACGAUGCAUAGCCGACCUGAGAGGGUGAUCGGCCACACUGGGACUGAGACACGGUCCAGACUCCUACGGGAGGCAGCAGUGGGGAAUCUUCGGCAAUGGGCGAAAGUCUGACCGAGCAACGCCGCGUGAGUGAAGAAGGUUUUCGGAUCGUAAAACACUGUUGUUAGGGAAGCGGUAUUUAACGAGGAAGCCACGGCUAACUACGUGCCAGCAGCCGCGGUAAUUC
rnacentral:rRNA from 1 species